rnacentral:rRNA from 1 species
UCCGUAGGUGGCAAUCGUUGUCCGGAAUUACUGGGUGUAAAGGGCGUGUAGACGGGGAUGCAAGUCAGAUGUGAAAUUCCAGGGCUCAACCCUGGCGCUGCAUCUGAAACUGUGUCUCUUGAGUGCUGGAGAGGAAAGCGGAAUUCCUAGUGUAGCGGUGAAAUGCGUAGAUAUUAGGAGGAACACCAGUGGCGAAGGCGGCUUUCUGGACAGUAACUGACGUUGAGGCGCGAAAGCGUGGGGAGAAAACAGG